AUCGAACCAAGUGCAAUAAAGAAGAGACAAGAGUUUGCGACCAACUUGGAAAGAGAUGCGACUUUUCGACAGGGGCAGCGCUGUGCACAGGCCACAAGCGGACCAAAUGCAACACCCGCGAGGAACAAGCGUGCGCCAGAAUAGGAAAAGGAUGCGAGUUGAUCGACGAAAAGGCAAUGUGUGUGGGCAAAAAUCGAACCAAGUGCAAUAAAGAAGAGACAAGAGUUUGCGACCAACUUGGAAAGAGAUGCGACUUUUCGACAGGGGCAGCGCUGUG